AGAAUCAACGCUGGCGGCGUGCCUAACACAUGCAAGUCGAACGAGAAAGUGGGAGCAAUCCCAUGAGUAAAGUGGCGCACGGGUGAGUAACACGUGACUAACCUACCCUUGAGUGGGGGAUAACCUAGGGAAACCUGGGCUAAUACCGCAUAAUACCUACGGGUCAAAGGAGCAAUUCGCUUUAGGAGGGGGUCGCGGCAGAUUAGUUAGUUGGCGGGGUAAUGGCCCACCAAGACAGUGAUCUGUAUCCGGCCUGAGAGGGCGCACGGACACACUGGAACUGAAACACGGUCCAGACUCCUACGGGAGGCAGCAGUGGGAAUUUUGCGCAAUGGGGGAAACCCUGACGCAGCAACGCCGCGUGGAGGAUGAAGCCCCUUGGGGCGUAAACUCCUUUCGAUCGGGAAGAUAAUGACGGUACCGGAAGAAGAAGCCCCGGCUAACUUCGUGCCAGCAGCCGC
rnacentral:rRNA from 1 species